rnacentral:rRNA from 1 species
GACGAACGCUGGCGGCGUGCCUAAUACAUGCAAGUUGAGCGCUGAAGGUUGGUACUUGUACCAACUGGAUGAGCAGCGAACGGGUGAGUAACGCGUGGGGAAUCUGCCUUUGAGCGGGGGACAACAUUUGGAAACGAAUGCUAAUACCGCAUAAAAACUUUAAACACAAGUUUUAAGUUUGAAAGAUGCAAUUGCAUCACUCAAAGAUGAUCCCGCGUUGUAUUAGCUAGUUGGUGAGGUAAAGGCUCACCAAGGCGAUGAUACAUAGCCGACCUGAGAGGGUGAUCGGCCCCAUUGGGACUGAGACACGGCCCAAACUCCUACGGGAGGCAGCAGUAGGGAAUCUUCGGCAAUGGACGAAAGUCUGACCGAGCAACGCCGCGUGAGUGAAGAAGGUUUUCGGGUCGUAAAACCCUGUUGGUAGAGAAGAACGUUGGUGAGAGUGGAAAGCUCAUCAAGUGACGGUAACUACCCAGAAAGGGACGGCUAACUACGUG